GGUUGACCUCGGAUUAGGUAGGAAUACCCGCUGAACUUAAGCUAUAAA
rnacentral:rRNA from 1 species